GGACAAACAAGAGGAGGAGCCCCAGCCUGCUCCUCAGGGAGACAAGGAGAACGAUCAAGAUCAAGAGGUCACCCAUUCACAGCAGGUCUCUGAGGAGACAGUGUUGCAAGAUGAGGAGUCAUCUCUCUCAGAACCCCAUGAUCCCAGCCAAGUGGAGACAGUGUAGAAAGACUGCGUCCAUCAUCUCCAUCUGAGGUUUUUAGCUCCAACACUGUGACCUGGCUGCCUACUAGAAUGCCUUCAUCUCAUCUUGACACUGAAAUGGCCUUCUUGUCCGACAAGAGCAUUGUGUACACCCUCACCCUCGGCGCUGCGUUGACUACUAAGAGUGCUGUUCCACUGCCAAAGGGAGGUGCCCCUUUAACUUGUGGGGCAACUUCCACUUCGAAUCCCUCCCCAGCCUUCCCAAACUGACUUCCCACUACCCCAUCUGUCCUCCAUCCCCAAACCCAUCCUCUUAUAGGGUUUCUACUAGUUAGUCUUCUUGUAGCGGCUUGUCCUUCUAUUCUAUUCUCCCUAUGCUUUUCUCAUUGGCAGACAUUAUGCAAUUCUGUCGUGCAUACUAGAACUUCUAAAAUGUCCAUAGUGAAUACAGUUGAGACAUUUUUUGCAUACUGAACAAAUCUUGUUUGUUUACGGGCGAGCUAUUAAGGAAAUGAAUGUAAGCGUUUAUGUUUAACCUAACGUAGACUUAGAAGGGUUAUUGUCCCAACCUGUUCUGUUGCAUUUAAACUUACACCAAAAUAAACUGCGUAUCUGAUUGUCGUGGUGAGGCGACAGCUGUUUUAGAACUGGACAUCACUGUCUCUGGCUCAAGAACUGUUUUGAUUUUCAGAUGAGAUCAAUCAGCCUUUCUUUUUUUAAACUGUAACGACAUUGUGCCCUGUCUCAUUGCUUUUGUACACACUGCAACCAUAACCCAUAGAGCUCUUCAAUGAAGAGUGACUCUACACCACAUGACAUGAUAGACCAGUGACCUAUUAUACGUUACAUUGGUUCUACGCUGGAGGGGAAGAGUUGCCUUCUUUAGAUGUGUGUUAGUCCUCUGAUCAAUCCGAUGUAUAGCUCCCAUUUCCAGGUAAUUUCAGGAAGCAAUAAAGGCACGGAUUGAGUUGAAGUGUUAGUUGGUGAAUUUGAUAAACUUUAAAGAUUGAUAUAGGGAUAUAGAACAAACAAAAAAAACGAUAGGUAGAGCAAUAUUGUUGUACAAACAGCUCAGUGGUGUAGUGGAGCUACCUGUA